rnacentral:lncRNA from 1 species
GAGAGAGAGAGAGAGAGAGAGAGAGAGAGAGAGAGAGAGUUACUUCUGCUGGGAUCAAAUGGAGGAUCAGGAACGGGAGGAUCAUCGGUUUGAGUGGAGGGUGGUAGCGGUGGCUCAUCAGAAGGAAGAGCUUCUUCUUCUUGGUCUGUGUCUGCUUCUGCUUCUGGUUCAGAUUCUCCUUCUUCUUCUUCUUGUUCCUCUUGCUGGGAUGAUUCUUCUUCUUGUUGGUGUUGAGCCAAGUUUUGUUGUGGUUGGUCCAUUUGGGCAAACAAGAGUGUUGCAGAGAGGAGGUGAAGAAUGGACCAGAGAUCCGUGCUUCGGGGUGUAAUAGAGAGGAGGUGAAGAAGAAGAAGAGAGAAGAGUUGUGGAGGAGGCGAUGUGAACUGAGAGAGGUUAGUGAGGUCUUAGCUAAGGGCCUCUCAUCGGAGUACCCACGCAAACACCGGCUAAGGAGGCGAAAUCAGAAAACAGGUCCAAGUUAAGCCCAUUAAUAUUAGUACCGAUAGAGACCAAACAUGGGAUUAAUCUUGUUUCACUCCUUAUUUAGCACUGGCUUAGGUAAUACCGGGUACCAAACGUACCCUUUGAGUGUUGGGUGGAAAAUCCUAUCUAAAAGAAAGAGUUGGUUAUUUUGAUUCAAUCACUGUGUGAUGUAUAAUUAGCUUUAGAAUUCAUUGUUUGCAGUAUGAAUCAAGCAGCUAGGAAAUAACCUUGAUUGACAUAUUGUCAUUUCUGUUAUAUAGAAGCUCACUAGUUGAGUCACUCAGUUUAGUGAAUUUUAGUAGCCACCAUUGCUUUUUAUGAGGCCACAACGUUAUCGAUUCACCAUCUCUUUAGUGAAUCGAUAUCUAUAUCAAAGAGAUAAACUAGUGAAAAUUAUUACAAAUUGAGCGGGAUUGAGAUCGAAGUACUUAAUAUUGAAGCAGUGAAUAGAAGUUACAUAAGAGGAAAAAGAGUGAAGUUCUCUUUAGCCCCUUUUCAUGGUUAUUAUCCUUCAGAAACUGCAUAUUUUGAAUAUGAUGACAGGUGAAGAAAGUGGACUGAUAUGAUCGAGUGAAUUAAUUGAAUACCUACUUGAUAUUGAAAGACUGUUUGAUUAUGCAAUUGAUAACAAUCUAUUAAUGAUCAUACAUUUUGAAGUCAAAGGAAUUUUUCAGGUUAUGAAUUAUAUAUGAUAGACAUCUCCAUAUAGUGUGUGU